rnacentral:lncRNA from 1 species
CUGCCCCUUUUCUCAGCAUUGUCUUAACAGAAGAACAAAAGGAAACGUUCAAAUACAUACCCUGGGUGAACCUAACAGGAUGCAAGAGGCCAUCUGAGCUGCACUCUUCAAACCCACAGGAAACCCUCCUCUACUAUGUCCCGAGAACAAAGCCUCCUCCAGUCAUGUUGAUAAGAUGGAUCUUGUUGUACAGCCUUCUAGUAAGGCUGGCUCAGAGCAACAAUCAAGAUUCUGGAAAAGUUGCAGCAGAAACAGCAACACCAGAAUUUAUGGCUACAAUCUGCUAUCAGGCACAGUAUUUUCCCAGCUUCCACGAUACAGAUUUCAUUUGAGGCAAGAAGAGCAG